rnacentral:ncRNA from 1 species
CCAGGGAGGUUCUCUCUUUGCGGGAGAUUAAAACGGGAACCGUGUGUGAGUCACGGGCUGUCGCGCAACUGUAAGUUCCAAUCCGAGCUUGUGUAACAAUGUCACUGAAGAGAUUCGGGAAGGCGCACAAGUGGAAUAAGUCAGGAGACCUGCCUCUCAUG